CCUACGGGUGGCAGCAGUGGGGAAUAUUGGACAAUGGGGGAAACCCUGAUCCAGCAAUGCCGCGUGUGUGAAGAAGGCCUGCGGGUUGUAAAGCACUUUCGGUUGGGAAGAAAAGUUUGGCGCCAAUACCGCCGAACCUUGACGUUACUGACCGAAGAAGCACCGGCUAACUCUGUGCCAGCAGCCGCGGUAAUACAGAUGGUGCAAGCGGUAGUCGGAAGCACUGGGCUGAAAGUGUGAGUCGGUGGUGAAAUCCCCGGGCUUAACCUGGGAACUGCAUUCGAUACUACAUGGCUAGAGUAUGGUAGAGGGAAGUGGAAUUUCCGGUGUAGCGGUGAAAUGCGUAGAUAUCGGAAGGAACACCAAUGGCGAAGGCAGCUUCCUGGACUAAUACUGACACUGAGGCACGAAAGCGUGGGUAGCAAACAGGAUUAGAUACCCGGGUAGUC
rnacentral:rRNA from 1 species